rnacentral:lncRNA from 1 species
CCGAGGUCAAGCUGGGGGGUGGGGGUGGAAGGCCUUGGAGAGGCCUAAGGGGACAGUAUGUUCCUGCCAGUGAGACAGUCACGGGAGUUUCCAGAGCUGCCAGGCCAUCAAAGCAGGAAAACACCUGACACCCUGGACCUGGGCUGGACCCACCACCCUCACCCUCUGGAGUCGCACGCGCUCCCAGGCGAGCCCUGAGCCCUGAGCCCCUCCCUCGAGCAGCUGCUGUAAGGGUAUUUAUAGCCUGGAGCGUGAGGGGGCAAGGACACGCGCUUUAUUUCGGAAGUGAUAAUUCCAGCUCCAGGCCCUCCUUGGAAGAAGCCACAAGUAAGCAUCAGGACACCCUUCACCUCAUGAAAAGCCACAGCAGAAGCCAACCAGGCUGUCUGGCCCAGGCAGCUGCCCGGCACUUCGGAGAAACUGAGGCUCAAACCACUCCAGAGAUGACAAGUCCUGUCACCUUCAGGGAGGCGGAGGCCAAAGACAAAACUUGAAGGUCAGAGUCCAAGGCUGCCAAGCUUCGCCCCUGGGAAAUAAAACUUAUCAAAAAUGCUACUCAGAGGGUGACCCACGCUAAUUAGAAAACCGUGGCCGGCUCUGGCCAAUUUCAGAUCCAUUAGUAAACAUUUAAUGAGCACCUACCUGCUGUGUGCAGCUCCC